GAUUCCUCAAGGAUCUAGAACUAGAAAUACUGUUUGACCCAGCCAUCCCAUUACUGGGUAUAUUCCCAAUGGAUUAUAAAUCAUGCUACUAUAAAGACACAUGCUCAAGUAUGUUUAUUGCAGCACUAUUCACUAUAGCAAAGACUUGGAAGCAACCCAAAUGUCCAUCAAUCAUAGACUGGUUUAAGAAAAUGUGGCACAUAUACACCAUGGAAUACUAUGCAGCCAUAUAAAAGGAUGAGUUCGUGUCCUUUGUAGGGACCUCUAUGAAGCUGGAAACCAUCAUUCUGAGCAGACUAUCACAAGGACAGAAAACCAAACACCGCAUAUUCUCACUCAUAGGUGGGUAUUGGAAAAUAAGAACACUUGGAGACAGGUUGGGGAACAUCACACAACAGGGCCUGUCGGGUGGGGUUGGGGGGAGUGAUAGCAUUUGGAUAAAUACCUAAUGUAAAUGACUAGUUAAUGAGUGCAGCAAACCAACAUGGCACAUGUAUACCUAUGUAACAAACCUGCACAUUGUGCACACGUACCCUAAAAUUUAAAGUAUAAUAAAAAUAAAAUAAAAAAAAAGAAAGUGGGCUUGAUAAGAUUUUGACUUGGUAGAAUUUUAACUACCGGCUAUACAAUUCUUGACUUAGGAAAUUAAAGCCUUAAGUCUUCUGAAAAGCCCUUUAAUUCAGUUAUUUCAUUAAUUUUGAUAGUUUUGCACCAUCAUCUGCUGAGAAACCUAUCCUAGAUUGUAAGAAGUUUGAGAGUGAAGACUGCCUUAUACAUCUUUUUUUUUUUUUACUUUAGCACAUCUUGCACAAAGUAUUCAUUCAUUCAAGAAAUAUUAAUCAGCUCUAUGCCUGGCCCUGGGAAUACAGUGGUAAAUAUGAGACAGCUACAGCUUAUGGCUUCAUGGGUGAUAUAUUUAGUAGACAACAGGACAAUAUUAAAUAAGAAAAAUAACUUAGGCUACAAGAAUUCCAGAGAGAUGUGAGGGCAUCUACUUUAGUCUGGGAGUCAGCCGUACUCUCCUGUGGAGAGAAGGUUAGUGGAAAUUUGAAGCAAUUGGUCUGGGGAAAUGGUUGCAGAAGACUCACUUCAGGCAGAAAGAAUGUGUGUGCUUAGGAACACAUGAGCAAGAGCCUGGAGACUGGGAAAAACUGAAAGGAUCUCAUAAUGUACAAUGCAGGAAAGAGAAUGGCCAAAAAUAUUCUAUAAGUUUCCUCUAAACUAACAAGUAUUUUACCCUAUCAGUCAUGAAACACUUCUUGGAUGCAGCUCAUGGCAUAAGCAGCCCUGUCUGUUCUCUCCAAGUCCAGGACAGCUUAGGUCUAACCCAGCUGUGCUGGCCACAUACAUCUCAGACCCCCUACUUCAUGGAGGACAGAUGUUAUUGAUCACCGGCCAUAACUUCGAAGCCACCUACUGCAUAUUUGCACUGAAGCCAUUCUUCCCAGUGGCUCUUAGCCAGUGACUGGGCACAGCACAGACACUCAGACAGACUCAUUCCUGGGAUAUGAGAGCUCUUCUAAUGAGCAGCUUUAGCUGAAAGAUCCCUCUUCGGCCUUGCAGAAGAGCACAGUAGUCUAGACUCUUCCUACACAGCCUUCCUUCCUUUCCCCUCUUCUCACAGGGUGAGACCUGCGGGCAGUUCCAUGAUUCCUUCUGCCUCCUCCAGCUCCUCCCCAUUUUUCUUCACAGGCAUUUCCCCCAGUAAAAUGCUCACACAUCUAAUCCUGUCACAGCAUCUGCUUCUCAGAGGACCCAAACUAACAAUUCCAGACAACCACGUAUCUUAUCCUGUAGGGGGAGAUGGCACAGUUACAGAUAUUUUUUUUCUGUUAGUUAGGCAUAGACAUGGAAUCCCAAAGAGUAUUUAAUGAAGUUUUUUCUUAAAGUAGAAGAAAUAAUCAUGGGCUGAGUGGUAGAGGAUUUGUAAUCAAAGAAAUAGCAAGAGAGAAAGAGAGAGAAAAGAAGAAAUAGGUGAAGGUGAAAGGGGGGAAAUGAGAGGGAGGCUGUGGUUGGGGAGGCAAACUUCAAAGAAUGUUGCUGGAAGAGGGGGAAGGAAAAAUAUAAUGUGCUCACUAAUUCUGUUGGAAUAACAAUCUCUUAUUCUUGGAAGACCCAGUCUUCUCUUUAAGAACCAGGUUCCAUCACUCUAAUGGAAGGGUACUCAUAUAAUCACAAGUCUAAGACAGACAGAGAAACUUUUAGCAAAAUUACUUAUAGAAGACAGGCUAUAUAUAUCAUACAGAUUUGUAAAUUCCAAGAGUCUAACUUUGGGAGUUCAAAAUAUCUGAUUUUUUUUUUUUGCAGGUAUUUCUUUGGAGGCCAAGUCACAUGGGAACCUCUUUGUCCACCUUCCCUCUCAGGGCCCAAAUAUCCCUCUCCAAAGAUUCAGAAGCAAAAUGGGAGGAAGUUGACAAUGAUGACAAUCUAUGCCUGACUUCAGCCCCAAGGAAGGUUUGACCUAGAGAGGUGUGAAGAUGUCAAACCUACACUGUCCAAUAUGGUAGCCAGUAGCACAUGUGACUCUUUACAUUGACUUUUAAAUGGACUACAAUUAAAUAAAAUUUAAAAAUCCAUUUCACGGGCAUACCAGCCACAUUUCAAGUAUGUCGUAGCUGCAUGUAACUAAUGGCUACUAUACCGGAAAGCACACACAGAAAAUGUUUCAUCAUCACAUAAAAUUCUGUUGAACAAAUCUGUGUUGAAUAACAACACACUUAGGACUGUGUUCAAUCCUAAGUUGAACACAAUCCUUAGGAUCUUGCUGAAUGGACAGAGCUGCAGUGGGAAAGGAGAAGAGUGAGGCUCUAGGAAAAUCCUGCCCUCUAAAAAAUGAAGGGCUCGUUCUAUGGUUGGCCUCCAUGCCAUGACCAAAGAUCAUGGACAGGUUAAAUCGAUUAGGAAAGCACUUCUCACAUAUCUAACCUGCCCUGCCAUGGGUUCAAUUUACGUAGUACACUGGACAAUGUAGCUUGAAUCCUAAAUUCAAAUGUGUUAAAUAUUCUUAGUAUUCCGUCUGUAUACUAACAAAGAAAAAAAUGUUAAGUGACUGUGCCACGCUCUCCUUCCAGAGCAGUGUUUCUUAAUUUCAGCACUACUGACAUUUUGGGCCAGAUAAGUCUUUGCUGUGGGGGCUUGUCCCACGCACUGCAGGAUGUUUGGCAGCACCCCUGGCCUCCACCCUCUAGAUGCUGGGAGCACUCUCCACCUCCACCCCCAUUGUAACAACUAAAAAUGUUGCCAGACGUUACCCAGUGUACGCUGGAGGGAAAAAUCACUCCAGGGUGAGGGCCACUGAUCUAGAAUAUGAUACAUGGCAUCUGUGAUAUGAGAAAAUGACCUUGGGCCUGGUCGUAAAAGAAUGUGCCACCUCCUCACCUGAAACACAACCAAGCAGUGGCCCGUGACUGACUUGGCAAAAUAACACUUUGUUCAGAGGAAGCUCAUAAAACAGUUUUGGCCGGGAGGAUGAGCUAACCUCAUAAUAGGUACUUGAGAGAAGCCACCCCGCUAAUGCAUGCUGUGUACCAUGAUUAGGAUUGACUUAACUAGGGUGAAGAAAUCAUAUAAUUUGCUGUGUCUACAGAUAUGUAAGUAAUCCAAAUGUGUGUUUCUUUUUUAAGUAUCAAAGGAUAAUUCUAGAAUAAAAUUCAUAGUCACAGUCAUAUUAAAAAACGUCCACAUUUUCAAAAGUCUAACUACAUUUUUCACUCUCCUCUAAAAAUGGAGACACAACACUGUGUUCUAACCUGAAGAUUUGCAUACUCAAUUCUAACUCAAAACUUUAUCUGCUGACAUCCGUGCUUCAUAAAUAAUUCCCAUGUGAUAAUUAUGUAUCUUGAGCAGAAUUACCAAUGCAUUUGUCUUGAAUGCUUAAUAUAUUUAAUGGGAAAUGUCUCGGGAAUUUUCAGUUCUGUCACUGCCAAGAGGAGGAAGUAUUAACCAUUCAGAAUAAGAUACUCACAUUAGAUUUUGUGCAUUAAGAAAGUCACAACUGAGGCUGUAGGACUUAAAUAGAUGUUUCUCCAGAGAAACAAUAGUCACUACUACACUCCCUUUCCUCCCUUAAAAGGCUGUCCAUUCCUAAAGGGUAGGGACUAUAUGUUCUUCCAGUACCUCUACUAGUGUUCUGUGCAUAUUAGGCAUUUAAUACAAUUUUUGUGCAUGAACAGACAGACUCAGAACAAAGCCUCUGAGUAUAUUGCCAUCCAGCUUGGAUGAGGAUAUAAGUCUCUUAAUCCCCAACUUAUCUUGUUUUCUAACACAAGCAAUAUAUGGGGAAUUAUGCUUAAGAGGCUGUGCCACUUUGUAUUUAAAAACCCAACUCUGUUUUUUAGACUCCUUGUUCCUUAAGUUGGUUAUGUGUUAGGUGACCUUGCUAGUUCCCUAAUUUUUCCAAGUUUCCAUUUUCUCACCAAUAAAUCGAGACUAAUUAAUAAUGACACAUUAAUUUGAGGUCUAAAUGAGAAAAUCUACACAAGGCUUUUAGCACACUGCCUGACACAUAGAAAGUGUUUUCUAAAUGCUAGCUAUUAUUUUUAUGGCAUAAUUCUGUCAUAGAUCCAAAAAGACUUUUUUAUUUUUAAAAAAUCAUAGUCGCAUUUUUUUAAUUAUUACUUUUCUUCUCUUUGAAGUCAAUCCUCUCAACACAGCUUGAGAAUUGCAAUGAAUUUGGGGAUCUGAGAAACAAUCUUUUCUAAAUAUUUGUAUGUUAUUUGGAAACAAUUACAGUGGCAAAAGAGAACAAGAGGCUACCUUUUAGUAUCAAUCUAUCUGUACACUUAAAAAAAAAAAAAAAAAGAAAAAAGCAGCCCAUGACAAGUACAUGCUGAUUUUUAAGAAGAGGUGAGGUAAAAGUGGUACAGCUUUAUUAAGUACAAGAACUUAACAAUCCCUUUUAUUAAACAGAACUUGAAUUUGUAUUACACUGAAUUUAUAGAUCAAUUUGAGGAGGAUUGAUAUGGGUAUGAUAUGGAGUCUUGUUAUUUAAUAAUGUGGUUUCUCACUUAGGAUUGUCUUAUAUCUUUCAAUAAUUUUAGAAUUCUUUUUUAAAAGUUCUUGCAUAUCAUUUCUCAGGUUUGCUUUAAACGGCUGUACAGAUUUUUGAAUGGGGUAUUAUUAAUUGUUCGAAUUGGUUAAAGCAAGAAUGCUAUUGUUUUUGUAUAUUGAUCCUCUAUCCAAAAAAUGUACUGAAUUCUCUAACUACUGCUAGUUUGCAGAUUUUCCUGGAUUUGCAAAGUUAAAAAUCAUAUGCAAAUA
rnacentral:lncRNA from 1 species